GGGUUGUGAGGUUAAGCGACUAAGCGUACACGGUGGAUGCCCUGGCAGUCAGAGGCGAUGAAGGACGUGCUAAUCUGCGAUAAGCGUCGGUAAGGGGAUAUGAACCGUUAUAACCGGCGAUUUCCGAAUGGGGAAACCCAGUGUGAUUCGUCACACUAUCAUUAACUGAAUCCAUAGGUUAAUGAGGCGAACCGGGGGAACUGAAA
rnacentral:rRNA from 1 species